rnacentral:rRNA from 1 species
UACAGAGGUCUCAAGCGUUGUUCGGAUUCAUUGGGCGUAAAGGGUGCGUAGGUGGCGCGGUAAGUCGGGGGUGAAAUUUCGGAGCUUAACUCCGAAACUGCAUUCGAUACUGCCGUGCUUGAGGACUGGAGAGGAGACUGGAAUUUACGGUGUAGCGGUGAAAUGCGUAGAUAUCGUAAGGAAGACCAGUGGCGAAGGCGGGUCUCUGGACAGUUCCUGACGCUGAAGCACGAAGGCCAGGGGAGCAAACGGG